UUCAACUCAGGCAGUGUGUCGCUACCUCACCGCCCUCUCCACACCAAACUCAACCCCCCACGCACAUAAUAUUUAAAAUCUACCAAACAUAACAAAUUUAAAAUCGAACCGAAAUGAAAAUCCGUAUUAAAAUGAUCGAUAAUACUUAAUCCGGUUGUUAUCGGGAAUGUUAUCGGGAAUGUUAUCACGUGUCAAGUGUCUGAGUGUGUGUGUGGGGGAGCGCUCAUCGUGACGUGUUGAAGGGACGUGUAUACUAACUGUAUACUAUAGUGAUCUUUGUGACGUGGCAGCAGCAGUCUUGGGCGUUAAACAACAACAUUUUGGCAGCCGUGGGUGAUCGUCUCUACUACAACUACUGCGGUUACAACACUACAACUACUACGGCGGCUCCUACGUGCGUGUAUGACAACAUGUGACUCGUAAAUAAACCUGAACUAAAUACACGAGAGAUAGAUAUGUCCCAGCCAGGCGCCGUGCAUAGGAUCUCCUCACGCCGGGGAUGUUACUCAGAGAAGGUCAUAGUGCCAGGCCCCUCAAAUGGUGCCUCAAUAUGACCACCACCGUAUAUCGACUGGGUAUUAUUCUUGAAGGUAUAUCGUGUGAAGGACCGUGGGGCGCUGCAUUCUAGAGAAGUGUACGUGUGAAGGACCGUGGGGGCGCUGCAUUCUAGAGAAGUGUACGUGUGAAGGACCGUGGGGGCGCUGCAUUCUAGAGAAGUGUAGGUGUGAAGGACCGUGGGGGCGCUGCAUUCUAGAGAAGUGUACGUGUGAAGGACCGUGGGGCGCUACAUUCUAGAGAAGUGUACGUGUGAAGGACCGUGGGGGCGCUGCAUUCUAGAGAAGUGUAGUGUUGAUCAAUACGGAACUAUUCACAAGGACUGUCCAUACUCUGCAUAAUGAACCGCCCUCCGAGGCUUUUAUGUGUACGGUGAAGAUAAAAAGAGUCGACUGAUAACCUCUCUCGUCCCUCCUACAGCGUCCAUUACUUGUAGUUCUUCAGUUAGUCAGGCCUAGGUACCUUAGAAAUGUGCUAGGUAGUUCAUGAUGGGGAUGGAGGGAGGUGACGACAUCAACAUGUUGGCCCAGAGGAGACAGGCAGGGCGUCGAGGGGUCCGCCCGCCCUACCCUAGUGAACUGACCUUACGCAUCGAUAACUUCACCUCAGGGACCACCACGCCUGCCCUCACGCCCACCACGCCUAGGACGUAUGAGCCCAAGGGUUUCGUGGCGGAGGUGUAAGGAACGCCGUCGUGAGCCGCGUGUGUCGAUGCCGAUGUUCCUGGAGGAGUUCCCUACAGCCGUAUCUCCAUGCCGCCCCUCGUGCCUGUCAGUAAGGACGCACAGCAGCCCAUAUCCUAUUCAGGGGAAGGAGGUAGCUGCCCUCAUCCACACCGCCACACACAUCUCCCUCAUGUCUGCUUCACUUGUCCAUGAGUUGGGUGUGAGGCAAGAAGUCCUGCCAGAUACCUCCGUUCCUCCCUCACCUCUCACGGCAGGUACAGGGUCGCCGUGGUUGGUGGAGGAAAGCUGAGAUAUGUGGAACUAUCCUUCAAGGCUCUAAACAUGUCACACAGCUUCAUGUUGCCCGUGAUCUACCUGCUGACCUGGUACUAGGCGUGGAUUUCCUGAAGAAGGCCCAAGUGCAGGUGAGCUUCCCGGAGAACGCCAUCACCCUACCUAGCGGCAACCAGGAGACCAAAGUGUCCUUCCUCACCAGCAAGGAGAUGAAUCAACACCAGCGGCGCUCCUCUAACGCCGCCAACACCCCAUCCAACAAGACCAGAGCAUACUCUUCCAACUACUGACACGAUCCCACGCCCGUAGAACCUCACCCGUCAUAAAAUUAUUCACCUACAUGUCUCUAACUUAGCUCCUCCCGUAACACCCAAACAGCCAUCUUUAUUAGAGUCCCCUUCAUCAUUGUGCUAUAUAACCUCAACUACCUAAAGUCAUCACUUACAACAUCAACUCUUUAUUACCCUCAACUACUACUAUUUAACAACCUUACCCUCGAGUCUUAACCUCCUCCUCCUCCUCCUCCUCCAAUUACAUAUCCUUACCCCUUCUCCCUCCAUUCAACAAUUAGUAUCUUCUUAAAAUUAAUUUUAAGCAAUGUGUCAAAGUCUAGUUUCAAUCUUGACCACUAGAGGGUGCUGAGGUCACUGAUUGAAACCAUAAGGAUGGAAGGUGCUACAUGUGGCCAUCCUCUAAAGUCCUGGAGGAAACGUGGCUUUAUAGAUGCUGGUUAGAAAAAAAAAUAAAUAAAAUGUGAAGAAAUAUUCCAAAAGGCAUAUUUAAACUCACUGGUGCAGAGAAUAUCUUCGUUAUCAUGUGCUGUGAAUAUCUUCGUUAUCCGCGGUGCUGUGAAUACCUUCGGAUCCGCGGUGCUGUGAAUAUCUUGGUUAUCCACGGUUGUUUUCCCAAGUCUUCACAUCCUGAAAUAAGUCAGAAAUCAAAAACUUACCGACGAGAGAGAAAGCACGUGAUGCCUGCAGUGAUAAUUAAAAUAACAUUAACAAAUUCAUAAAUAUAAACUAUGGGUUAGUUUUUGGUGAUAAUGGACAACUGACUGUACAGAAAAAUGUAAAUAGUGUGUAUAAAUUACGGUAAAAAAUGUAUGUACUUACUGUAUUUAUAUAAGUAAUUCCUAACUUUAUGUAUUAUCAUCAUCUAAAUUUAAAUUUUUCUGUUAACCAAUAUUAAUAAAUAACAUAAAGUCUUAAA
rnacentral:lncRNA from 1 species